GCGACUCCGAGUCCAUGUUCUCGGCCUCCUUUUUUCCCCCCUCACUUCCAAAAGUGGCUUUUUUUCUCUUUUUCCUCCAUGUGUGCGACGGGGCGUCUCCUCUCCCCUCCGACGUGAACCGCUGAAGCACUUUGAGUCCCGGACUGUAAUCCAAGCCCUCGCCGCCCCCAGCACAGCUCCAACUAAUCUAACUCAUGACACUACGGAGCAGGGGACCUCCA
rnacentral:lncRNA from 1 species